GGUUAAGUGACUAAGCGUACACGGUGGAUGCCUUGGCAGUCAGAGGCGAUGAAGGACGUAGUAACUUGCGAUAAGCUCAGAUUAGGCAGUAACAGCCACUUGAGUCUGAGAUUUCCGAAUGGGGAAACCCAACUGCAUAAGCAGUUACUGUUAACUGAAUACAUAGGUUAACAGGGCGAACCGGGGGAACUGAAACAUCUAAGUACCCCGAGGAGAAGAAAUCAACCGAGAUUCCGAUAGUAGCGGCGAGCGAAAUUGGAUUAGCCCUUAAGCUUUACAUGCGUCAGGUGAAGGUUCUGGAAAGGACCGCGAAACAGGGUGAUAGCCCCGUAGCCGACAGCGCAUGUUCAGUGAAAUCGAGUAGGGCGGGACACGUGUUAUCCUGUCUGAAUAUGGG
rnacentral:rRNA from 1 species